UCUUGCAGGAUGACUUUGAUAC
rnacentral:misc_RNA from 1 species